CCUACGGGGGGCAGCAGUGGGGAAUCUUGCGCAAUGCACGAAAGUGUGACGCAGCAACGCCGCGUGAGGGAAGAAUGCCUUCGGGUUGUAAACCUCUUUCAGUUGGGACGAAGCUUCGUGAGUUAAUAGCUUACUGGAGUGACGGUACCUUCAGAAGAAGCCCCGGCUAACUACGUGCCAGCAGCCGCGGUAAUACGUAGGGGGCUAGCGUUGUCCGGAAUCAUUGGGCGUAAAGAGCGUGUAGGCGGUUCGAUAAGUCCGCUGUGAAAGUCGGGGGCUCAACCCUCGAAAGCCGGUGGAUACUGUCGGGCUAGAGUGCGGAAGAGGCGAGUGGAAUUCCUGGUGUAGCGGUGAAAUGCGCAGAUAUCAGGAGGAACACCUAUUGCGAAGGCAGCUCGCUGGGACGUUACUGACGCUGAGACGCGAAAGCGUGGGGAGCGAACAGGAUUAGAUACCCGGGUAGUC
rnacentral:rRNA from 1 species